rnacentral:lncRNA from 1 species
CGUUGGAGAGAAAUCAAACGUUCACCAUUUCAGUAAUGAAAUGGUAUAAUAGAGUAACUAUAUUUAUUUUUAUAUCUGGACACAUAGUUCUCUGGAAUACCAUAGAGCGCAUCUGGAAAUCUUCUAGGGCGCACCAGUGCGCCCUGGCGCAUACUUUGAGAACCACUGAUUUAAACAGUAAAAGUCGCCUCAGAUUAGACAUUUAUACGUAUACUGUAUUUCUUCUAGAUCACAAAGUAUUUUGGGAUUCGAAGAAUUCAGACUAUUAAUAGAAAUAUUCUAUUGGAUUUAAUUAAAUACGUCGCUAUUAUUCGAUGAGUAAACCAAACAAAUAUUCGAGAAAUCUUGAUUGGCUGUGAAAACAGUCUUGAGUGAUUUAAUGACUUCGCCCGUGUGGAAACGCUUCGGCUUUCCACUCUGGAGGACCUGGGUUCGAGUCUCGGGUCCCACCCCCUUGAAAAUAUAUAUCUUGGGGUCCGAGACCGGCCGUUGAUCCCCG